AGCACAGACUGCGGACACCCAACAUGGACCAUGGGCAUCACCACAGCCCAUAGCAUGGAUCGCAGAUACCAACAUGAUCUCCAGGAGCAGUACAGACCAUCAAGAUACAGUUGAAUCAGAGGUUAGCCGUGUGCAACCUGAAAACCGCCUAACCUUCAAUGAAGUGUCUCUUUGUUCCUGCAUUCUUCUCCUUUGCAGACACAACAAAAAGCAAAGCAGACAAGUUGGUUAAAGCCGGGCCAGGUAUCAUUCACUGCAUUACUGUACAACGAUCCCUUUACAGUCUGCAUGGUUCAGAGUUUCUCUGUUUCCCCCCUUCAAGUCACAGCCAGCUUUGCAAGAAAAAUAUUAAGAGAGAAUAUAACGCUGCACAGUCCUCUUCAGUCAAGCCAAAAUGCCUGGAAUCUCUGAAUAUUAUGUUUAGGAAAGCAGCGUGGGCAACUUCCUGGACCGUGAUGGAGAAAACUUUCAGACCGCCGCCUUUCCAGAAAUUCACAAACUGACAAAAUGCUUCCAUUUCUUAUUCAAGGGCUGUGGCUUUUAAUUAAAGUUUACACCAACUUGUACCCAGCUCCACAGAAGCAUUUGGGACCCCAGUAUUUGAGCAUGUUAUGCUGUGAUUUCUUUAUCCAGUUCUUUGCUUAAUUUUUAAAUGUAAUAACCACCAGAGGGCGAAAGAGAUUACAUUUCAAAGGACUUAAAGGCCUGUUUCAGCCAGUAGUAACCCAAUCAAUGUUGGUAAGCAUUCCCACAGGAUGAAAACCCAAGGCUGAGCACUCAGCCUGACAUACGCCUUUCAUCUUGUUGUGUUUUUUGCUUCCCUUAGAAAUUAAACACCGACAAGCCAAAUCAUCCCAUUAGAACUUGGGUUACAGAUCUAAACAGAGAGUUCUCAACAGAGGAACGCAGAGAGCUGAGAAACACUUAAAUGCUCAACAUCCUUUGAGAAUACAACUUCUUUGAGAUUCCAUACACCUGUCAGAAUGGCUAAGAUCCACUCUUGCUCUGUACGGAUGAUUAUUUCUUAUGGUUGUCAAACAGAUUUGCUAGUCUAUUAAACAGACUAAAUAAGCAGGUUAAACUGUUUCGCUUUAACGUUCUAUCAAGUUAGACUACGUCUCCUCAUUUACUUUUGAUCACCUGGAGUUCAAAGCAAUAAUUAAAGCAUGCUAA